GAUGAAGAACGCAGCGAAAUGCGAUACGUAAUGUGAAUUGCAGAAUUCAGUGAAUCAUCGAGUCUUUGAACGCACAUUGCGCCCUCUGGUAUUCCGGAGGGCAUGCCUGUCCGAGCGUCAUUGCUGCCCUCAAGCACGGCUUGUGUGUUGGGCUCCGUCCCCCGAUCCCGGGGGACGGGCCCGAAAGGCAGCGGCGGCACCGCGUCCGGUCCUCGAGCGUAUGGGGCUUUGUCACCCGCUCUGUAGGCCCGGCCGGCGCUUGCCGAUCAACCAAAUUUUUAUCCAGGUUGACCUCGGAUCAGGUAGGGAUACCCGCUGAACUUAAGAAUAUCAAUAAGCGGAGGA
rnacentral:misc_RNA from 1 species